rnacentral:tRNA from 1 species
GCAGAUGUAGUACAUCGGUAGUAUAUCAGCUUCCCAAGCUGAGGAGGCGGGUUCGACUCCCGUCAUCUGCU